rnacentral:rRNA from 1 species
AACGAACGCUGGCGGCAGGCUUAACACAUGCAAGCCGAACGCCCCGCAAGGGGAGUGGCAGACGGGUGAGUAACGCGUGGGAAUCUACCCAGUUCUACGGAACAACUGAGGGAAACUUCAGCUAAUACCGUAUACGCCCUACGGGGGAAAGAUUUAUCGGAAUUGGAUGAGCCCGCGUUGGAUUAGCUAGUUGGUGAGGUAACGGCUCACCAAGGCGACGAUCCAUAGCUGGUCUGAGAGGAUGAUCAGCCACACUGGGACUGAGACACGGCCCAGACUCCUACGGGAGGCAGCAGUGGGGAAUAUUGGACAAUGGGCGCAAGCUUGAUCCAGCCAUGCCGCGUGAGUGAUGAAGGCCUUAGGGUUGUAAAGCUCUUUCAGUGGGGACGAUAAUGACGGUACCCACAGAAGAAGCCCCGGCUAACUUCGUGCCAGCAGCCGCCGUAAUAC